AGCGUCCGCCGAUAAAGGCACUCACGUGUUUUGCCGUAUGCAAAUUCCGCGAAGUCGAUUGACCACUCGAGAAAACCACUCGAGGACUGACGACGCGAUGAGGGGAUGUGCGAGGAGAGAAAUCGGAACCACGGUGGUCAGUUACUUCAGCCGUGUACACGAGCGGCGAAUACGGCGAGCGUGACGGACUCCCCGUAGUAUGCGCAGGAUACUAUGGGGACUUUGGUAGAGACGGCGGUCCAGCCCGCCGGUGGAUCCCAUGGUGUAGCGUUACUUUCCCACAGGCGAGGCCUCUUCCUCUGUGCGCGCGCGAUUCUUCCCAGACGCGCAUCCAUCAUGCACCUGCACACGCCGAUUCGCGUGUAUGCGUGCCUGAGAUGGUGGGGACAACGAGGAAGGACAUGUAUCUCACCUUGCGAGGCGAACCUGUUGUUCGUCACUUCGCCGAAGAUCGACGUAACCGAGUGUUACCGCCUGAAAAAUAAUUUCCACCCUUCGGGAACCGCCAAUUUCGGCGAUGUAGGAAGCUGGGAGCAAAAGGAUGUCUCUCACGGAGGAAAAUGGGUGUCCCGGAAGAGAAGAAAAUAGCAGUCGAAGUCGUCGUUCAGCGUAGACAAGGAUAGUAAAUAUUGAUUGGGGUUCCCCUCUGAAUGGAGCACGAAACUGUUCCGGAAAUGAGUUUCGUCACGCAGAGCGGAAGCUGGACCUUGCCGCAUCAUGGAAUUGGUAUUAAAGUACCUACAUCGAUCGCGGAUUGGAACGAGGCAGUAAAGGAGUGCGAAAGGGGCGAGAAGAAAAAUAAAUAUGAAAACUAAUCUUGUAGUUACGUUGCGCGCGCGAUAACGCGAGAGCUGGUAAACAUUAGGAGCAUUAUGGAACCCAAGAAUCAAAUUUAUACGACAGCAGUAUAUAUGAAAUCACAUUCACACUAUGAACACAUAUUUAUCUUGCCUUCAGUGGAACACAGGGUCUUUUUUGUUACGAAAAGUUUGUCCAUCUCCUCAGUCUUUUAUCAAAAUUUAUAUAUGAACACAAUAUUGUAUCUUCGAAAU